UACGAAGGGGGCUAGCGUUGCUCGGAUUGACUGGGCGUAAAGGGCGCGUAGGCGGUUUGCAUAGUCAGACGUGAAAUUCCUGGGCUUAACCUGGGGGCUGCGUUUGAUACAUGCAGGCUUGAGUUCGGAAGAGGGUCGUGGAAUUCCCAGUGUAGAGGUGAAAUUCGUAGAUAUUGGGAAGAACACCGGUGGCGAAGGCGGCGACCUGGUCCGAUACUGACGCUGAGGCGCGAAAGCGUGGGUAGCAAACAGG
rnacentral:rRNA from 1 species